UUUAAAAUCAAUUUUGGGUUAAACAACACUAUGGGGCUGCUGACUGCUGUGAACCCCUCGAGAUAUCUCUGUCUAACAAAAUCGAGCUUUUGAGCUGGUAAAGUAAAAAUCUUGUGAACAUGGUAACGUAUUUGGGGAGGAAAUAUGCAGAUUAUGUAUACUCAAAAUGGGAAAAGACAAUUCUUUGUGACAUGGUUGAACCAUACAGGAGACGAAGAUCAUUUACUCCUCUGGUCACAAUCUACAUCUGUGCAUUUUAUACUGGAGUUAUCGGGGCAGUCGUCACUGAGCAACUCUAUAAGGAGAAAUACUGGGAAGAACAUCCUGGGGAAGCAGUGCCUCAAAUGAAACCAAUGUUUUAAGGUGGCCCUUGGAGAGUAAUGAGAGGGGAUGUUCCUCCAACCGGAAAGUUCAAUGCCUGAGCUUCAGCUCCUUCAAAUGGCUGUGAUUCUCGCGAAUAUCUGUGAGUGAAUACUUGUUUGGCAUGUUGGUUUUGCAGUUCACUUUGACCAAUUUGGUGGCUGGACUGCCUGGUAUAUAAUAUUUGAGACCUAUUGGUAUGGUUUGAGUUUGGACCCAAGGGCCUCGAGGUUGUUUCGGCAUAUUUUGGAAUUUUCAGUUUUUGCAGAUUUUUGGAGCUAGUGCAGACACCUGUCCGAUCGCGGCUUCCUGGCGCGACCACGGUGAAAAGGCAUUGUCAAAGCUUUGUGAUCAUGCCAUGCCUUGUGAGAUUACAUUGAAGGGAAGGGGUGACCAUAUUGUUUAGUGCUAUUGCGCGGGUGUGACGCAACUGCAUUGCCUAACUACCUGGCCGGCUCCCACCACUGGUGCUAUGUCCAGAGGCAGAUCCAGAAUUUAGAAGUUGUGGGUAGGGGUGUACAUGGACCGGGUUGGUUCGGUUUUUAUCAAAACCAAACCAAACCAAUUAUAUCGGUUUGGAUUGGUUCGGUUUUGUCGGAUUUUUCGG